CAGAAAAACCAAAGAAAGACGUGUUAGAGAAGAGAGCCUAACCUCACCGCCAAGCUCACCGUAGCGGUCGCUGCCGCCGUCGCUGCUACAGUUCAGAUCAAGCAACUGUGCUCUUUGACUCAGAUCCUUCUAUCCCUUUCUAUGUUGUUCAGAGAAGAGAAAGGCUCAUGCCUAUAGCUUUCUAUCUUUCUCUCUCAUUUUCGAUUUAGGGCUCACGAACUCGCUCUGACUCAGAUCCUUCUUGCAGCUCCGAUCUGCUCCUUCAGACUCGUUCUCAUUUUACAAGACAAGGCAUAUACAUAUAUGAAUUAAAUAGUCUCACAGUCUUGGAGACUAUUGACACGCUGCCAAACAUUGGUGAGGCUGGAAUUAAUACUGAUGAGAUUCCGUUCAAUUAGUAGAGUUUGUGAUAAGCAUUACUUUUGUAAUGGGUGCAUGUCUAAUUUUUAUAAAUUGUGUUCUUGCAUAUAUAGCAUUGUCAGUACUAAAAAUAACAAUGUAGAACCUCUCAUUUUGAUAUCUUGUAUUAUCCAUAUGGUUAUUUGGUAAACUUUCUUCACAGAGCUUUGUGCAUUUUCCACUUCUUGGGAUUAUCCUGGUUGAAUAUAUGUAUCUUUUAAUUUGUUAAUAUUAUUCGUGG